GAGGAUCAAGAGCUGAGAGAGGGAGAAAUAGAUUCAUGAAUUUGAUAGAUAACUAAUUGUAUUUAAAUACUGUAUGUGGAAUCAGGAAUAAUAUAGUUAACGUUCUUGCACAGAAAGUCCUUUUCAUCUGAGACUCAAACAAACACCACACCUUAAUGAACUAAGCAAUUACUGCCAUUUUACAUGCAGCUACACUGAGGCACUAAGAAGUGACACCAUUUAAGAUUUUAAUAUGAAAUAUGCUUGACCAAGUGUAGAUGCAGAGUUUUGAGUAACAGUCUGGAAGAAACCUCAGGUGUCAGCAGUAGAUGAGAAGAUGGAUCAUCGAGCUCCUGUGCCCUGAAUUGGUUCUUCCCGUGCCUGGGCAGGUGUAAGGAUUUUGGGGUUUACACAGUCUCUGCAUUGGAACUGAACUUAUUUAAUGAGCCUCACUGCAAAUGAAAUAAUGUUGCCAGAAGCAUAAACAUGUUGACAGAUGAGAAGAUUUGGAGAGGAGAUUUUAUGUAUUGUUUACCUGCGGAAUGGGUUCCCCUAGAAGAAAUGAAACCAACUAGCAUAAAUAAAAUCAGACUACUUGUCAGUAAGAGCUUUCACUAAAAGGUCAGCUCAACAAACUCUGCAAAAUGAAAUGUAUUUUAAACUAACUUAACAAAGGGAAGCUCCUGAAACUGGGAAUGGUGAAGAUGAUUGGUUUUUUUGUGAGAUUACUUAAUGCAGUGAUUAAUGUCUGUAUUAGUCUUGCCAAGAUUGUUGCAGGAGGUGCUUUGGAAAAACUAACUUUCCCAGUGAUUAUAGCCCGUUACUGCAAAGAGUCUUCCAUCAGAAGAUCGGUUGUGUUGGUGCUACUACUGCAUUCUAGGACCAUUGAAACCUGGAAUCUUUACAUUCAUUUUGUUCCCCAAGAGAUGUCAGGAGUACAGAACAUAGGGAUUAGAAGCAAGAGUCAUUACCUGCUAAGUGGGGAGUGGUUUCAGGAAAUACUAAAACCAGACUAGGUGCUCCUCACACUGUUUCAAAAUUUGGAUGUUAAAAUGAUACAAGUAAUUGAUUUGUUUCCAAAGGCUGGUUCAGAUUAGCUCAGAAAACUUUGAUGGUUAGUCUUCUAUUAAUUAUAUGUACUCUGGCUCAGGUGUCAUCUUUCUGUGUUGCUGGAGAACCAUGCUACAGAAUGAUGGAAUCAACCAGCUUGCAGGAUACCUCCAAGAUCAUCCAGUCCAACCUAUCCAAUCAACUAGACCAUGGCACUAAGUGCCUCAUCUACUCUUUUUUUGAACACCUCCAGGGAAGGCGACUCCACCACCUCCCUGGGCAGCCCAUUCCAAUGCCAAUCACUCUCUCUGGCAAGAACUUCCUCCUAACAUCCAGCCUAGACCUCCUCCAGCACAACUUGAGACUGUGUCCCCUUCUUCUGUUGCUGGUUGCCUGGGAGAAGAGACCAACCCCCACCUGGCUACAGCCUCCCUUCAGGUAGUUGUUGAGAGCAAUGAGGUCACCCCUGAGCCUCCUCUUCUCCAGGCUAAACACCCCCAGUUCCCUCAGCCUCUCCUCACAGGGCUGUGUUCCAGGCCCCUCAACAGCCUUAGUGCCCUACUCUGGUCACGUUCCAGUACCUCAACAUCUCUCUUGAAUUGAGGAGCCCAGAACUGGACACAGGACUCAAAGUGUGGCCUGACCAGUGCUGAGUACAGGGGAAGAAUAAACUCCCUUGUCCUUGUGAAAAUAAAGCCCAAUGCCAUUCAUCUUGACUGAGUGGUUAACUAUCAGCAGAAGAAACCUGGUUUAAUCUCCAUCAAAACAGAGGAGACAUAUUCUUUCAGUGUUAUCUGCAGCUACAUGCAAUGAAUACUGCACUGCCUUGGCACUUUGCUAGCAAUACCAGUAUUAAACAUUUUUUUAACGUGUUUAAGCUGAGGCUAAAAGUAAUUCCAGUCUUGUUAUAACAUGGAAAAAUCUGUCCUUGUUAGUUGGUGAAACCAUGUCAUAACCUGUUUCAUAUAAAACUGCCUUUAAACUGUGCUUAAGCAACAGCUGGUGGUUUCUCCUGUGAACAGCAGAAGAUGUUUAAUUAGCUUUGCAGUCAUCUACAUUACAAUCAAAUCAGAGAAUGCAGUUGCAACACAUUCCCGAUUUGUAUUGUAAACGUGACCCUAACUGUGUUCCUAAAAUCUCUGUCAUGUGCUACAGCUGGCCACACUGACCCGAUUGUAACAGAAGCAGAAACUUCACAUGCUGCUAGCCGAAAUUUCUGCUCCUAAAGUCAUAGUCAUUCUUUAUAAUGUUUGAAGCUUACCAAAAAAGUUUACUCCUCAAGCAUUCCAUGCUCGUUAAUUAUUCCAUUUAAUAGUGUUUCUCAAAGUCAUCUCUUAGAAGAGGAAUUUGGAUUACACAAUCUUGGAAAACAAACCUGUUGCCACCAAGCAUGAGCUAACAUGUUAUAGUACUCUACAGCUUAUCACAAGUAAGCCAGCACCCAGUUUUGUAGACCAGAAAAAGCCUUGAUUGAUUAUCUGUGCAAAUAAACUACGCUGUGUUGAAUAUUGUAGCUUGCUUAGGUUAGAGUUGUGUUCAGCCUGUGGACUGAAUACCUGUGCCUCUUUUCAGCUCUUCAGGAAGAGCUGUAAAACUUUUAAAACUGUCUGGCAUUUGUGAAUAAAGUGAAAAACUUU